rnacentral:rRNA from 1 species
UACGGGGGGAGCAAGCGUUGUUCGGAUUUACUGGGCGUAAAGGGCGCGUAGGCGGUCAGCACAAGUCAGUUGUGAAAUCUCCGGGCUUAACUCGGAAAGGUCAACUGAUACUGUGCGACUAGAGUGCGGAAGGGGCAACUGGAAUUCUCGGUGUAGCGGUGAAAUGCGUAGAUAUCGAGAGGAACACCUGCGGCGAAGGCGGGUCUCUGGACAGUUCCUGACGCUGAGGCACGAAGGUCAGGGGAGCAAACGGG